AUACCUUUCUCGGCCUUUUGGCUAAGAUCAAGUGUAGUAUCUGUUCUUAUCAGUUUAAUAUCUGAUAUGUGGACCAUUGGUUCACACGAUAUUAACUCAAUUUUUUAAGGGGAGGAGUCCAUUAAGGUAGCUUGCUACCUGGGCUCUUGCGCGUUUCCCAUGUGUUGCACUACUGCACGGGCCUGGCGCACCCCUC